rnacentral:rRNA from 1 species
CUACGGGUUGCUGCAGUGGGGAAUAUUGGACAAUGGGGGAAACCCUGAUCCAGCAAUGCCGCGUGUGUGAAGAAGGCCUGCGGGUUGUAAAGCACUUUCGGUUGGGAGGACUGCUUCUAGCACUAAUAUUGUUGGAAGUUGACGUUACCUUCAGAAGAAGCACCGGCUAACUCCGUGCCAGCAGCCGCGGUAAUACGGAGGGUGCAAGCGUUAAUCGGAUUACUGGGCGGAAAGCGCGCGUAGGCGGCUAGAUCAGUCCGGUGUGAAAGCCCCGGGCUUAACCUGGGAACUGCAUCCGAUACUGUCGAACGGGAGUACAGGAGAGGAGAGUGGAAUUCCACAUGUAGCGGUGAAAUGCGUAGAUAUGUGGAGGAACACCAAUGGCGAAGGCAGCUCUCUGGCCUGAUACUGACGCUGAGGUGCGAAAGCGUGGGGAGCAAACAGGGUUAGAUACCCGGGUAGUC